rnacentral:lncRNA from 1 species
AAGCCCUUUGUUGAAAGCUCAAGGAAAUCAGAGCAGAAAACACCUGAACAAAAUCAUAGAGCAAUAAGUGAGUUGGAUGAUUUUUUUUUUCACUUAUUAUUUAUUUAAUAAUUCCUGAAAUUGGGUUCCACAACUGCCUACCAUGAUAAAUUUGUCUUCACUAUAAAUGAUUGAAAAAUUAAUUUAAUUAUUUUAUGGAUAUUCUUACAAGUGGUUUUGUAUCUGUGGUGUGGAUAUAGUAGAUCCUUUGAAAGCUGAAACUGCUCUGAAAACUUCAUUAGUAAGCGAAAAUAUGCAUAUAAUAUGAUGGCAACAUGUGUCGCAAUGUCACUGCCAUAUUUCUUGGCUUUAUUUUAUAGCCAUUAGCAUUAAUUACCCAUCACUCUUAUUGGUGGACCAACCACCGGCUCACCAUCUUGCUGUUUCUACUCUUUGCAGACAUAUUUCGUGCACACACUUAUUCCACCUUCUUCAAUAAUAGCAACACAAAUAUUUCUUAAAAUAACUUCAGUUUCGCUUUUUCAGUAUAUAUACAUAUAUAUUCAUGGCAGUCAUGAUGCAGUCAUUUAAAGUUUAUGGAGAUCUGUGUGCCCCUAUCACUAUCUCAUCCAUGAUUCUCAUCUAUAUAUAUAUAUACACACAUAUGUAUAUGCGCCCAUAGUUCGUACUGUUUUUCAGAAUGUUGUGUUAAUUCAAAGUAUCUCAAGUUGUGUGGUGAUCGGUGACGGAUGCUUAACGUUAUUAAGUAGAGUCCAAGAGCUUUUGAACUUUAACUAAUUAUAAGACUUAGGGUAUACGUAUGAGACUGUCAAACUUUGGUUAAUACCAACCUUUACUUUGGCUCUGUUUGGUAUUAUCUAUGUAGUGAUAUGACUUCUAGUUGUUGUGACUUGUGAGAUUAAUGUUAGUCAACCCAACUACGUUGAGUCCAACAGCUUUUGAACUGUAACCAAGUACAAGACUUAGAGGUAUAUAUGCUUGAGAUUGUCCUUAAAACUUAGUUGUUUCUGUAUAAUAACCUUGGCAAACCAAAAUCUUGAUUCCACAAGUAGUUUGCAAACUAACCAUCAUCAGAGAUAUGUUGGCCACUUUUUCAUAUAUUUGGCAUAUCGAUUAAGUCAUAUAAUUAAUGAUUUCAUUGAGCAUUAAGACUGUAAAUGCAUGUUAGCUAACUUUCAAAUGAGUCUGUAUAAGCGUCAAAAAUGUUAUUGCAACAACAUUUUUGAAAUUUUUUACAACAACAUGAAUUGAUUAAUCUACAGAUUUAGAAUAUAAUCUACAUGGAUUAAAAAUAUUAUAAUGUUUACAGAUUUACGUAUUUACUAGUAAUAAUUUAAAUUGUAUACUACACCCUUCGGCUUUUCUUACAAUUCUGUUCUUCUCUUUUUUGGUUUAUCUUUAUCUUUCUAAUGGAAAUUUAUCUAUGAGAUGGUGAUCCAGUAAUGAUAUUUGAAUUAGCCCUAGUCGUCUAAAUAUGAUAAUCCAGUUCAGUUCUGCUUAAUAUCAAUGAAUAAUGAUCUUACAGUCAAAUGUUUUUUCUUGUCAUGACAUAUCAUUAGAAAGAUACAUGCGUUGAAACUACAACGCUCAUUUUCAUGCGACUUACACAAAAUACUUUGAUUUUUGGCUUCAGUGAUUAGGAAACGUUAAAUUUUAUGCUCUAGAAUGAUAUAUGCUUACGCAUUUGCUUUUGAAAAAUGCAAGCUGUAUAUUUUGUUGAUGAAAAGACGUAUAUAUAAUUGGGUUGAAAUUAUUUAUGUGUGCGUAUGAAACUAAAUCUUAUUGGUCACAUCUCAGGCUCUUGAAGGAAACCAAUUGAAAUUAGAAGUAUCAUUCCAACACCACUGGCUUUUUCUCUUUAAUAGAAAAUUGCAACUCAAUUAAUGUUCAGAUUUUCUACUCUAGUUUCAAUGUUUGGAUCUCCUAUCUUUCAAUGUUAUUACCCUACUGUGAAAUGGAGACUUUGUAAGAUACAAAUAUUCUUUUUUUGUUUAUUUUUAUAUUUAAUAAAUAAGACUUCGUGCAUGUAAUUGCUAUAAGCAAUCCAUUUCAAUAGCAAAAGCCAUAUAAAUAUUCAGCAACGGGGUUGGGUAUAAUUUAUUUUUAUUUGAUUCAAAAAUUAAUUUUUACACAAAAUUCUAAUGGCAUAUU